UACGUAGGGGGCAAGCGUUGUCCGGAAUCAUUGGGCGUAAAGAGCGCGUAGGCGGCCCUGUAAGUCCGCUGUGAAAGUCAAGGGCUCAACCCUUGGAUGCCGGUGGAUACUGCAGGGCUAGAGUCCGGAAGAGGCGAGUGGAAUUCCUGGUGUAGCGGUGAAAUGCGCAGAUAUCAGGAGGAACACCGAUGGCGAAGGCAGGUCUCUGGGCUAUAACUGACGCUCAUGCACGAAAGCGUGGGGAGCAAACAGG
rnacentral:rRNA from 1 species